rnacentral:tRNA from 1 species
GCCCCAGUGGCGAAACGGUAGACGCGGCAGACUCAAAAUCUGUUGUCCGCAAGGACAUGUUGGUUCAAGUCCGACCUGGGGCACCA